rnacentral:rRNA from 1 species
CCACGCCGUAAACGUUGGGCGCUAGGUGUGGGGGCCAUUCCACGGUCUCCGUGCCGCAGCUAACGCAUUAAGCGCCCCGCCUGGGGAGUACGGCCGCAAGGCUAAAACUCAAAGGAAUUGACGGGGGCCCGCACAAGCGGCGGAGCAUGUUGCUUAAUUCGAUGCAACGCGAAGAACCUUACCUAGGCUUGACAUGCACGGAAAUCUCGCAGAGAUGCGGGGUCCGUAAGGGCCGUGCACAGGUGGUGCAUGGUUGU